CCUACGGGUGGCAGCAGUGAGGAAUAUUGGUCAAUGGACGAGAGUCUGAACCAGCCAAGUAGCGUGAAGGAUGACUGCCCUAUGGGUUGUAAACUUCUUUUAUAUGGGAAUAAAACGUUCCACGUGUGGGAUUUUGUAUGUACCAUAUGAAUAAGGAUCGGCUAACUCCGUGCCAGCAGCCGCGGUAAUACGGAGGAUCCGAGCGUUAUCCGGAUUUAUUGGGUUUAAAGGGAGCGUAGGUGGAUUGUUAAGUCAGUUGUGAAAGUUUGCGGCUCAACCGUAAAAUUGCAGUUGAAACUGGCAGUCUUGAGUACAGUAGAGGGGGGCGGAAUUCGUGGUGUAGCGGUGAAAUGCUUAGAUAUCACGAAGAACUCCGAUUGCGAAGGCAGUUCACUGGACUGCAACUGACACUGAGGCUCGAAAGUGUGGGUAUCAAACAGGAUUAGAUACCCCUGUAGUC
rnacentral:rRNA from 1 species